UACGUAGGGGGCAAGCGUUGUCCGGACUUAUUGGGCGUAAAGAGCGUGUAGGCGGUUAUGCAGGUCCGCUGUGAAAACUGGAGGCUUAACCUCCAGACGUCGGUGGAAACCGUAUGACUAGAGUCCGGAAGAGGAGAGUGGAAUUCCUGGUGUAGCGGUGGAAUGCGCAGAUAUCAGGAAGAACACCCGUGGCGAAGGCGGCUCUCUGGGACGGUACUGACGCUGAGACGCGAAAGCGUGGGGAGCGAACAGG
rnacentral:rRNA from 1 species